GAUGAACGCUGGCGGCGUGCCUAAUACAUGCAAGUCGAGCGAAUGGAUUAAGGGCUUGCUCUUAUGAAGUUAGCGGCGGACGGGUGAGUAACACGUGGGUAACCUGCCCAUAAGACUGGGAUAACUCCGGGAAACCGGGGCUAAUACCGGAUACAUUUUGAACCGCAUGGUUCGAGAUUGAAAGGCGGCUUCGGCUGUCACUUAUGGAUGGACCCGCGUCGCAUUAGCUAGUUGGUGAGGUAACGGCUCACCAAGGCAACGAUGCGUAGCCGACCUGAGAGGGUGAUCGGCCACACUGGGACUGAGACACGGCCCAGACUCCUACGGGAGGCAGCAGUAGGGAAUCUUCCGCAAUGGACGAAAGUCUGACGGAGCAACGCCGCGUGAGUGAUGAAGGCUUUCGGGUCGUAAAACUCUGCUGUUAGGGAAGAACAAGUGCUAGUGGAAUAAGCUGGCACCUUGACGGUACCUAACCAGAAAGCCACGGCUAACUACGUGCCAGCCGCCGCCGUAA
rnacentral:rRNA from 1 species